GCCAGGUGUGGCUAUGAGGCUGAGUUCUCACCAACUAUAACAUAAAGUGAAGUGUGUAACUUCCAGACCACAUCCUUGAAAGGGAAGCUUUUCUUCCUUUCUACAGCCAGAGCACAGACAGCGUGAGACUGAGUCAGUUUGUUUUCUGCACAUACCAAGGAACAGUAGAGCAACAAGGAGAAAGGAAUCUGGGUCCCUGAGUGGCUUCAAGGAACACAGUUAACUAUCCAGGCCUCGACCACCCGCUGCUGCAGACAGAUCUGGUUUCCAUUCCUGUGGCGUGUGAGACGAGGGGACCCUUCUUCAGGGAUUCGUGGGCAGUGUGCUGAGAGCUCGAUAAUCUACUGGAGGAUGUGCUAUAUCAAAAAGAAGAGAUUAAACUCAGCAAGGGGAAGACUAAAGGAAAAUAAAAAGAUAAAGGAGACUGGAAAGCCAAGAGAAUCUCCAGCCAAGAGACCGGAGAAAAACAUAGAAUCUCCACAAUGAUGGGAAAGGGAGAUCACAAGAUGACAAGAUGACAACGUGUCACCAGCUGAGUACCACCAACCCAGACUGCUGCAGUGUGUCUCAGGGGCCAAGCAGGCUGCUGAGACUAUUAUCUAUGGCACCCUGUCACAUCCUCAAAACAAGAGACUAUAGCAAGCAGGAAGACAGGAGACUGGGAAGCAGGGAAUAUAAUCAUGAGAAAAGCAAAAGGAACUCCCAAGAUGGUAACAGAGGGAAGUUCGAGAUGACAGCUUAGUGGUGGCCUAAAGAGAAAUAUUUACAUUUUAAAAUACUAUUUUCAGGGGCACCUGGGUUGCUCAGUAGGUUGAGCAUCCGACUUUGGCUCAGGUCAUGAUCUCACAGCUCGUGGGUUUGAGCGCUGCGGUUGGGCUCUGUGCUGACCGCUCAGAGCCUGGAGCCUGCUUCGGAUUCUGUGUCUCCCUCUGUCUCUGCCCCUUCCCCGCUCAUACUCUGUUCUCUCAAACAUGAAUAAACAUUAAAAAAAACCCUAUUUUCAUAAAGUGAAAAGGACUUUAAAAAAUUGGAAGAAUGUAAAAUAAAAGUCUUAACAGUGUAUCUUUGAGUGGCAAGGUAAUUGGUAACUACUGUCUUUGCUUUUCUGGGUUUUGCAGGGGGAUAGAAGGUGUUUAUGCAAUAAAAAAGACAUUUACAUCUCUCCAGAAGGAAGAAAUUCUUACCCAUUGGUAGUCACUCUUGACUCCUCCUCUCAGUGCUUGGAAACUAUUAAUCCAAUUUCUGUCUCUAUAGAUUUUUCUAUUCUGGAUAUUUCCUAUUGAUGAAAUCAUACACAUAUGACCUUUUGUGUCUGACUUCUUUCACUUAGCAUUAAUAUUUUCAAAAUACAUCCUUUUUCAUCCAUCUAGCAAGCAUUGGCACUUCACUUUUUUAAUGAGUAAUAUUCCAUUGCAUGGAUAUACAUUUUGUUUAUCAAUUCAUCAGUUAAUGGAUAUUUGGGCUGUUUUUACCUUUGGCUGUGAUGAAUAAUGCUGCUAUAAACAUUUGUAUAGAAGUUUUUAUAUGGACAUAUGUUUUUCAGUUCUCUUGAACAAAUAUCUAGCAAAUUUGCUAGGCCAUAUGGACCUCUGUUUCACUUUUAAAAGAACUGCCAAACUGUUUUCCAAAGUAGCUGUAUUAUUUCACAAUCCCACCAGCAAUGUUUGAGGGUUCCAUUUUCUCCACAUUCUUGCCUACACUUGUUAUUGUCUGUCUUUUUAAUUAUAGCCAUCCUAGUGGAUAAGUAUUUAAUUGGCUUCUGAGUUGCAAUUUCCUAAAAACUAAAGAUGCUGAGCAUCUUCUUAUGGGCUUAUUGGCCAUAUGUAUAUAAUCUUGGAGAGAUGUCUAUUGAAAUAAUUUUCCAUUUUUAUGAUUUUUUAAAUGUUUAUUUUAUUUUUGAGAGAGACAGAGUGUGAGUGGGGGAGGGGCAGAGAGAGAGAGAGGUAGACACAGAAUGUGAAGCAGGUUCCAGGCUCAAAUGUGAGGCUCGAACUCACGAACUGCGAGAUCAUGACCUGAGCUGAAGUCAGACGCUCAACCGACUAAGCCACAAGGUGCCCCCAUUAUCCAUUUUUAAAUUGGAUUAUUUGUGCUUUUAUUAUUUGGCUUUAAGA